rnacentral:rRNA from 1 species
UUGACUGCGAGCGUGACGGCGCGAGCAGGUGCGAAAGCAGGUCAUAGUGAUCCGGUGGUUCUGAAUGGAAGGGCCAUCGCUCAACGGAUAAAAGGUACUCCGGGGAUAACAGGCUGAUACCGCCCAAGAGUUCAUAUCGACGGCGGUGUUUGGCACCUCGAUGUCGGCUCAUCACAUCCUGGGGCUGAAGUAGGUCCCAAGGGUAUGGCUGUUCGCCAUUUAAAGUGGUACGCGAGCUGGGUUUAGAACGUCGUGAGACAGUUCGGUCCCUAUCUGCCGUGGGCGCUGGAGAACUGAGGGGGGCUGCUCCUAGUACGAGAGGACCGGAGUGGACGCAUCACUGGUGUUCGGGUUGUCAUGCCAAUGGCACUGCCCGGUAGCUAAAUGCGGAAGAGAUAAGUGCUGAAAGCAUCUAAGCACGAAACUUGCCCCGAGAUGAGUUCUCCCUGAGACUUUAAGUCUCCUGAAGGAACGUUGAAGACGACGACGUUGAUAGGCCGGGUGUGUAAGCGCAGCGAUGCGUUGAGCUAACCGGUACUAAUGAACCGUGAGGCUUAACCUUACAACGCCGAAG